UUCUUUUUUUUUUUUGUUGCCUUUUUUAAUAUUUAAGGGCCUCAUUAAUUUGAACUCUUACCUCCUAGGAGGUAAUCGGUGUACUGUAGCAUUGCCCUGAGAACAAACCUUUUUUCUGUAAGCUACUGCAGAUCCUACUGAUUUACUGGUGUUUAUCUUUUCAGUAAUUAUUCUAGUGAUGCAGUUUCAAUAUCGUUAGUUGAGAGCAAACCCCUUGUUUGACCUAAGGCAGAUCCUAUUGAUUUACUGAUGUUUUUCCAGUAACCAUCUAGCAAGAAAAAAUGGAUGCUGUGAUGGUCCUAUUGCUACUAAUUGUCUAGCUAAUAAAAUAUGAUAAUGUGAAUGCUCCAACUCCAACAGUGCAAAAUUUUAUUGAGAACUGACAUGCCAAAUAUAAACAAAAAUUCCAAUAAAAAGGAGUAUCUUUAGAAAACUUAAAUAAGCAAAGAAGGAAACCAACAGAACGACCAAAGUGAAAAUAUUACCUUUCUAUUUAAUCCAAUCUCGAGUACAUACAAGAGCCUCAAUUGUUUUGAUAUUUAAUGUGCUCCAUUGCUUAUGAAUCAUAUUUCCCUCACUGCUCAACGCAGCUUCACAAUUAACAGCAGAAGCUGGCAUUGCCAGGACAUCACGUGCCAUAAUUGACAGAGUUGGAUACUUUGUAGAAUUAUUCAUCCACCAGUUCAGAAUAUCGAAAUCAUCCUUUCUCGGGACAAGACCAUCUUCAAGGUAGUUGUCAAGUUCUGUCAUUAGUUGGCUCCUUGUCUGUGCAUUAAGAUGCUCAUCCCAAUCUUCCAACGAAUCACUAUCAAAUCCAUCAAACUCAACAAUACGAGCUUCACGAGUUGAUGUGUCAAGCCCCGACUUCUCUGAAGGACCACAAUAUUCAUGGAACAGCUCCCUUAUUGCAUCACGCACGGCAGAUACAUACUUCUCUGCAUCAGUACCAAAAGCUCGCUUUAGACGGAACUCAAUAAAAGUAAUUUUGAAUCUCGGAUCAAGAACAACAGGUAUUGACAGCCACACGUAUGAACUUUGCCAAUACUCAUUGAACGCUUCUUGCAUCACCCAAACCAUGUUAGCAAGUUCAGUGUGAUCAGAGGAUGCUUCUUCUUGCAAAGUUGUUCUAACUUUCCAUAGUUCAUUGAAGUAUAUAUUUGCUGUGGGGCAAACAGGACCAGAAAUUACUUCAACAGCACGAUAAAAAGCCCUCAGUAUCCUGCAAACAGAUUCCACAGUUUUAGUAUCUUCUGCAGAUAACAAUUCUUCCGAGGGGAAUGCCUUCUUGAAAUGCAGAAAAACUUCAAGCCUGAAGUAAAUUUUAUGCCACCAUUUCGCAUCCUCCUGUGGGCACUUCAAUCCAAUAUGUGUAACAACUUCUAAAAGUUGCUGCCGAGUCAGCGAUGAGGACAUUUGUACCUGAAUAAAUUUCUCUAGUAUGUCACCAACAUGGUGAAGCACUGGUUGCCCUUUUGAAACAAUGCUGUUAAGCACAUCAUCCACACAAGCAACAUUGUACAGUUCACCUCUAAUAGGAAGGCAUUUUCUUUGGAUGAGCAAGUCCAUCAGCUUUGAGGUACCCUCAUCGCUUCUAAUUGCAUUGACAGAUGUCAAGCUGAAAUGCUUCUGAUCAAGAUUCCAAUCUCUUAAAGCUUCCUGUAUGACAUUAAAUGGUCCACUAUCAGAAUCCAGUACGCAGGCCUCCUUAAAAUGUAUCAUCCUUUCUAAACUAGUAGGUGAGGACCAAAACACACCAAAUUUGAUGAUUUUCCUUUGAAGUUUCCAUUCAGAAUCAAUAAAAUGCACUGCCAGACAGAGAUACUUCACUGAGGCCUCAGCUCCAUGAGGAGCCCACACACUUGCUGAUAAGGAAACCCGAUGGGAUAAAAGAGCAAUCUUUUCCUUUAGAUCAGUCUUUUCUUUCUGAAAUAAAAGAGUUGAAUACUCUUCUAUAUCAAUGCUCGAAGCCAUGUUAAAUGCAGGGUUCAGGCUCUUUGCAAACCUUCUCAUUUCUUCAUGUUCCACAAUUGACAAGGGAUAGCCAUGUGAAAUAAUCAUUUUAGUUAGCUCUUGAUAAGAUGCUUCUUGGUCAAAUUUCCUGCUUAUAUCUGCAGCAGUCUGAGCUGAUGUGGUAUUUUGUUCUGUGGAAUUCAUCUCAUCCAUUGCUGGCAAAGCUAGAAUGUGACGUUCCACUGGGCUUCUAUUACCAGAACUGCCCUUGAGGAACUUACUAGCAUACUCUGCAAUCUGAACCUUACCAUUUGUCAAGGCUGGUGAAAGCUCAUCUUGAAGCCUAGAUUUAAAACUUGGUGCACUGGACUGGAACAACACACCCUGCUGAUGAUUUAUGCUAUUUCCACUUCGUGCUGGACAAGUCUGAGUAUGUCGGGUCAAAUGGCUUCUACCUUUAUCCGCACUGAGUCGCUUGUGGCAAUGGACACAGUCAGCACCCUGGACUCUCCCUUCAACAUAGAAUGGUAUAAAAUCCUUCCAUACCUUUGACCUGAAUUUGCUAUUCUCACUACGGGUCACCAAGUUUACUCCAUCAAGUGAAUCUGGAAGAAUUUGGUCCACAGGAUCUACUUCACUCACCACUAUAUGCAAAGAGGUUGAACAGUUCAGUCAGAAUAUGCACAAAGCCACAAAAUAUAAAAGGCAUACAAUUUUCCAUGAAGAAACAGGAACAUUUAUACAACAUACAAACUAGCAAACAACGAAAUUUAUGAGAAAGAAAAAUAAGUGACCAAAGAGCUGCAUAGAAUCUAUUGUAUGCGCAUCUGUUUCGCAGUGUUUCUUUCAGACUAGGGAGACAGAGACACUAGCCACUCAAUACCCUUCACAACACUAAUGUCAGGGUAGAGAAUUAAAAGUCAGAAAAAAUAUAAAAAUUCUUGACCCAUCAAACGGUAAUAAUCAUCAUGAAAUGACAGCUCCCAUGAACAAACAUUGUUAAACAGACAAGUGCAGAGAGUAAUACAUACUAAUGAUAAAGGCCUAAAAGCUCCCAUACUAGUUAAGAAUGCAGAGAGAAGUACUAUAAACUUCCACAAAAAUGAUAACAUCUGAUGCUCAAUCUGGCACAGCUUACCGAAUACAUAAGUGCAGCUUACAAAAUACAUAAGAAUACAGAGAACUGUUAUGCAGAGUCUACAGUUGUAUUAGUUGGUUCGAAAAAAAAUUUAGCAUCCAUCUUAAGUGCUAGUCAGUAGCUAAAGCAUACCGUAUGGCAAAUCGGCAUCCUGCUGCAGUGGGCUUGGACCGAACCCAUCUUUUGCUCGGCAAAUUUUCUGGUGUCGCCACAAAUGGCUUGUUCCGUUGGACUGCCCAUCAGCACCUCUGCAACUCAUGUGAAUAUGGCAGUAGAGGCAUUCCGCGCUCUGAAUCGCUCCAUCUACAACGAUGGGCCUGUACUGUUCCCAAAUCUUAGACCUCUUCUUUCUCAAUCUGGUGGCAGUGCCAUCAGAGGCUGCCCCUACUUUCAUGUCAUCACUGUCAUGCUCAUCCAAGUGAUCCAUUUCUGCAGAUAACAGUGGGACAUUAUUCACUUUCUCAACGGCAUGUGGUUAAGCGGCAGAACCGAUAGACACCCAGAUAGACUCUUAAAACAUGCAGCCAUGACAAAAAAAAAAAAAAAAAAAGGAAACAUCUACAGGAAGGCAAGCAUAACAGGGAGGAAGGCCCCCCAACAAAAUGCCAGGAGCCAUUUUGCACACACAACCAGUAUGCACAGAAACUAACAACACGGAAAAGAAGGCGCCAAGCGCAGGUCCAUGAACUCCAAUCUAACCUAUAUCAAGGCCAUAGUUGAAAUUUCGAAAACUCAGACUGCUGUAACUGCAAAAGCUAAAACAUAGUGUCUUCUACUGAAAAACCUCGUACUCCAAACAGAUGCCAGCGCGCAUGAACUCGAAGCACCAAUCUCCUGAGCUACGAACAACAAAGUAGUGACCCUCCUAGGGUGCUAGCAACAGCAACCCCGGCAACGAAUUUUCUCUCUGCAACUGCGCCGAAAGCAAGAGCGAGUAUCCGAUCACUUACUGCUGCUCCUGCGGAAAGCUCCAAAAUUCCGCCGCGAAAUGGAAGCAGGAACCGACUGCGGGCGUCGAAUCGGCGCGGAUUUGCGUGAUCGAGGUGGGCGAUCCGGGGGGAGCUGCGAGGGGGGGAGGAUCCGGGUAGGGUUAGGGUUGGAGCUGGAUGGAUCUGUGAUGGGUUGGUGGGUGUCUGGGUGGUGAGCUCGCGAGGAGCCCGACCCAGUUCAUCAUCCGGGCUCAAGUGAGGUUUGGAUGGGCUUUGGGCCUCAGGACGUGAAAAACAGCAUGAAGGCAUUUCCGUUUGUAAAAUUUGUCGAAGCCCGCGAGCCGUAGGCCCGUAGCGAACGAAAUAUUGUAGCCCGGGAAAUGAAUGGAUAUGUGGGUUGGUGGGCUUCCCAUCGUUCGUAUUGGACCACCACGCGCCAGACAGAGUUGGGCUUAUUGUUGCAGUUAGAUCUGGCCCAUUUGGCCCAUCGAUGCCUUUGAAGUAUCAGCAACGGACAGAGAGGAGAGCAGAACAGCCGGAGUCGGAGAAGGGUUCGAGGCAGAGACGGCGACGCUGAUGGAGAAGCGCGCCAAUUCCGAGGAGGAGGUGGCCGGCGACUUCAUCGCCAAGCGCCCCAAGACCAUGCGUCCCUUUCUUACAGCAUGUCCAAUAAGUUACGACAUGCUGUGCAAAAGAAAUAAGGUCUUGUUUAGUUCCUAAAUUAGGAGUGGUAAAGUUUACAUUUUGCCAUAAAUGCGCAACUGUAGCAUUUCGUUUGUAUUUGUGAAUUAUUAUCCAAACAUUGACUAAUUAGGCUCAAAAGAUUCGUUUCGCAAAGUACAACAAAACUGUGCAAUUAGUUUUUGAUUUUGUCUACAUUUAGUACUCCAUGCAUGUACCGCAAGUUUGAUGUGAUAGGGAAUCUUCUUUUUGCAUAGUGCUAAAGUUGGGAAAAAGAGAGGAACUUAGAACCUUCCAAGUUGCAAUCUAGAUGUUCUAGAAAAACUCAAAACAGUUUCACAAAAUAAUAUAGAAAAACUCAAGACAAAGGCAUGAAAAAAAGGGUGUUAUAGGCUUUUGGCUCGUCCGGUGUACAAAUUGAUGAUAAUUUUCUGGAAAUGAGAUGAGGGAGAAAUCAUAUAAAAAACCGACUAGUACUAUUUUCACGGCUACUAUUUGCGUUCUUGAAAACCCACCCAAUAUCUUAUUGAUUCUCUUUUUUUUAAACGAACCGGAGAGCCGCAUGUUAUAUUAAAAAGAAAAAAAAGCCAAACAUGCGAGUUACAAAUGAAAGAAACUAUACAUAUCUUAUUGAUUCUCAUAUUUAGGUAUUCGUGGAUUGGUCGCAUCUUUCAUUUAAUUUCAAACAUACAAGGAUUCCAUAUCUAUAAUUGUUAUUAUAUCAAUCUCAGAGGCACAUAACGUUAGUUGAGGUAGCACAUAUAUGCAUUCCAUUGGAUUGACAUCGUGCAUGUAUCUUGGAGUUAUUCCUUCGCCUUUCUUAAAACCUUUGCUUUUCAGGAUGGAGCUCUUCGUGACAUCAUUCAGGCAUCACUACCAUUGCAUGAGCAUAGUCCUUUUCACUCCUCCGUCUUCGUUUUGACCCUUUUUUUGCGUAACUUCAAUUUUUUCCCAUUAUAAGGAAAUAUUCCCACACAUCGUAUCUAUCAAAUAAAGUGAGAUGAUACUGGGAAAAAAACUCCUAUGAAUUUAAUCUUGCCAUUCUUUCUAAGAAUUACCUACUAACCAAAUAAGUUGUACACUCAUCGCAUUCAAUCACGGAGCCACGAGAGUGUACUAGUUUCUUUCUCAAAGAAAAAUAUACAAUUUUCUAGCGAGGAUGGUGACCGACUUUGCUUGUUGAUUUUGAGGAUUAUAAUUUUACUAUCGUUUUUCCCGGGAUAGGAAUAUGUACAUGUACGUGCUAAUUUUUUAGUAAAGUGUGUAAAAAAAUGUACCUGUUCGCAAUCGGAUCCUAUUGUUAGCUGGGCUGUGUUAAAAAUCAGCCAGGGGGGGGACACAAAAGCCCACCUUGCUCUUUCCCGUGAUAUCCGGGCUGUUCUAAAAGAUUCAGCCCACGCGGGGGCUUGCCCUGCGCUCUGGCGCGCUUACGGGAACGAGCGAUGGAAUCGAAUUUAGUCCCAUACCGGCCAGAGAGCAAUGAAAAGACCAGGUUAUAGGCUCGGCUGCAGCCGCUCGAUUGUCUCUUCGGAGACAUCCGAUAAAAUUGGAACGAUACAGAGAAGAUUAGCAUGGCCCCUGCGCAAGGAUGACACGCACAAAUCGAGAAAUGGUCCAAAUUUUUUUGGGAUUUUGCGCGCCGGUCCCUGGGCUGGAGUUCUUCCCUCACGGAUACGCCCCUGGGCUAUUCUUUUCAGGCCCUCGCGACUUCUGCUGUCAUACAUCCAGGUCCAAAAUGUCUUGCACAUUCACGUACCACUCCCUGGGUUCGAGUUUUCCCUUGCAAUUAUGCCCUCGUUGCUUCUUUUUGGGCCACUUAUUCACGCUGCAGUCCCCAGAUGCGACUUUAACCUUGCAGAUAUGCCCCUAACUAUACGUUGUAGGCCCUUUUUACAACGUAGCAGCUUACACUCCCAAUCCAAAAUCUAUCUAGGCCUCUAGUUUUUUUUUUCUGAACCGUUCAUGUCUUACCUUGCUCAGAAUGAAGUUCUCAUGAAGCUGUAUCCAUGGAUAAUACUUUGGUUAAUCUCUACAUAGCCGUCCGCUGAACUCCCCAUAGCCUCACUCGUUUUUUCUUGGUUCUUGCUGUGUGCUUGUUCUUCAACUAGUUCCAAUGAAAUAUCCAUUCAUGCAAAGAAUUCUAUGACAGGGAUAUUUUUCCUUCCAAUUUUGCUACGUUAGUUGCUCAACUUUCUUGACAUGAUCUGCUUUGUCAAACUCAAUAUUCUUUACAUGGUUCCGAUCUUGUCUAUGGGAGAAAUUAAUAAGGAUAUUUCAUGUAUUGGCAGAGGAAAAUAAGUGGCCAUAUCAUAUACACAGACGUGCACAACUUCAGAUUUACAAAACUAAAUUUCGCAUUUUAUUCGAUGGAUGGUGGCUAUAUUAAGAUUCACCAGCAUCCACCAAACAAAUUCUCAUAGUAUACACAUUCACCUGUAUGCAUCCAAAUGUUCCAGUCAAAAUUUUCACAUUUCAUUGGAUUGAAGCUGCUAUGUCGACGCGCAACAGUAUGCAUGUGCCUCGAAGCAGAAGGCUUGAGGUCCCAGCCUUCUACGUUUAUUGGGACGGAUACAUCAUACAUCACCUGCCCCAGCACCCCAUGCAGGCUCAAGCUCUCCACGCUUUGCAUGUUGAACAGCUCUGGCUUCGGUCCCUCGCUGCUUUCAUGGUACUCCAUGGAGCUUGGUAGGAAGAACUGAUCCAUUGGAUCGAUCGGUGCUCGUCUUAGCCUGUUGUUAGAGCUUGCAGCAGUUCUGCGGUGAUCGGAGAUGGACGGAGGCAUGUCGCUGUGCUCACUUGUGCCCACCUAGCUCAUAUCCGUUAAGUUGUCUUCUGCUCAUGUAAAGCGCCGAUGCUUUCAUGAGUAGCUCAGUCACCGCAGUUCGGUAUUCCUCAGGGUGAUACUUGUAGUGGCCUGCAUAAAUAGCAAUAGAGGAGAAGAGAUAAAGAAGAAAUCAUAAAAGUGUUAUACUCAUCAGUUUCACAUGGCUUGAGACAUUGUGCAUCCACAUCUUUUAGGUUAGGCGUAAAGCACACCCAAUAAAAUCUUUUGCAUGUAGAACAUCUGAACAGACUCAUGCGUGAUGAAAAUUUUCAGAUAACUGAAUUGGUGAAGCUACCAGUAUUAACUAUUGCAAGGGGCAGGUCUUAUUUUAUGAUAUGGGUCAUAAAUUAGUUAAUGAGACAUUUUUUAUGUGUUGGUGACUUGACAUUCUGUAAACCUACAAAGGACCUGAAUUACUAGAUAUUAGUGGAUUUACAGAACACCAUGCACAAAAUUCUUUACAAAUCGGUCUUAAGAAAUUCGUAAGAAAGUACAGCAGCAUAUCCAGGGGUUCUUAAUGUUCAUCUCCAGUGAGGGGAUUGGCAUAAACAAAUGGGGAACUCUAGCCUUGAGUAAUCAGUUAAAAUUCUGCGUAUCGAACGGUACGAGCAGAUCCGCGCAGAUCCGCGAGCAGUACUUGCAGAAGGGGGAGGCGGAGAUCGAAUACACCGACGACGAGGACGCCCCGGAGGUCGAUGCCGCCAAGCUGAUCCCGGCGGGGGUGCGGGAGGUCGACGCCGACGAGUUCGCGGUGUUGAUGGGGAUGGCAGGUUGAAGAAGCUGGGAUGCUCUGCUUCUUGGUUUCCGGUCUGCCUUUCGAGACUCAUGCUUAGUUUCUUAAUUUAGUAGUAUGUUUGUGGGGCAAAUAUUGUUAACUUGCUCUUAAGCAACUUAGUGGAAGUUCUACAAGGCUACAACGGUUUUACACAAUCAGUUACGCCGUAUCUAUGUGCCAUAGGCAUCUGCAUUGUGAUAAUUUUGCCCUUUCAUACAUUGAAUUUGAGUUGUUGAUGAUAUAAUCAUAACGAACAAAUUUGUUUUAAGUGCACAAAAUCGCGUUAUGUGGCUACUGAAUCUGCUGCUUGUGAGAUAUACAGUUGGAUGAAACUUGUUGCAGAUUUGAUUAUCUCAGGAACACUUUCUUCUUAUAACUUUAAAGAAGCAGGAGCAGGUGAUGCUAACGGGUUUUUUCUACUAUACAAGCAGUAACCUUGUGUGUUUAAUCUGUGCGUGUUAUCAAGCAUUACUACGAUGCAAUGUGAUCCCCUCCAUAUGUGAUCUGUAUGUUGUUAUCAUUAUCUUGCUAUGUCAGUUCAUUACUAUGGUGUAAUGUGAUCCCCUUCCUGUGAUCAACCUAUGUUGUUAUGAUCAUCUUGCUACUGGUGACCAUAUUCUGAUGUAUGUUAUUGAACCGGCUGCAGCUAGUCUUGUGUUAACAAUUGAUAAGCAGUGUAUAGAGUAGCAAGCAGCCAAACAUGCUGGAAUAAUAGAUUGAUUGGAUACACUGUUUAUGUGGUACUCAAUCACUGGAUUGCCAAUUAUGAUUGUUUUUACAGCAAACUGUCCUCCCUCGUGCUCCAAGAGCUUUGAUUGGAUUCCUCACUUGUUUCUUGAUUUUCAGUCUCCUCGUCCUUGACUUAUGCUUAAGGUUUUCAUACGGUGGUGAGGCUGGACAUGCAGGACGUCGAGAUACGGAUGAGCCUGCCGCCUCCGAAGCCCUACCCGCGCAUGUCCGACGAGGUCAUCGACCGGCUGGAGCGACCAGAGUGCCCAGGCCGGAUCCGCGCCCAACAGGAUGAAUUAACCGCCUUUGGUCAGAAGCAGGCAGUAAGAUCUCCAGGGGUACGCGGAGAUGGAGCAGACCGACGAUGAGGAGGACUAUGUUGAGGACUGGCGGUCGUGGGCGGAGUUGAAGGAAUUGGGACUCGUCGAUGGUUAAGGGGAUUGUGUGAUUUGCAAGAUACCCUGUUCGUUUCUAAUCCGUGUGUGAUGCAGCUACCCUAAGGCCUCAUUCGUUUCACCGGGAUUGGAUUCCAGCUAGGAUUACUUCCAGGUCCGGUUUGAGUGAUUCCACCCGUGUCACUCAAUCCGGCCAGGAUUCAUUCCAGGGGUGAGGAGGUACGGUUUCAAUCCAGGCCAUUUAAUGUAGAAGGAUUCCAAUCCAGAUCGGUUUUCGUUCCAGGCUAGACUAAAACGAACAACACUUUCAUUUCAAUGCAAGUCUGGUUUCAAACCGGACCACUUCAAACCACCUGGAAUGGACCUCAUUCCGGGCCAAUCCGGUGAAAACGAACGAGACCUAAGUUAUCAGUUCACUAUACUAUCAUGCAAUGUGAUCCUUCUGUGAUCAUGAAACUAUGUUACUACCGUGUUCUUGCUACUAUGAUUGAACCAACUGCCGGCUGUUUUGUGGUAGCAAUUUCUGUGAAUUGUGCUGGAAUUAUUUGAUGGAUAUCGUUCAUAUAUGCAAUCUGUGUUUCACCUCAUAUCAAAUCCCCUCUUGCAGCCUCGCGCAUUCCAAUCUCUUGAUUGGAUAACAGGUGGUGUGCUUGUUGGUUUUCGAUUUCGCUCAUCUUCCUGUGCUACUUCGGCACAAUUGUGUUAUGUGGCCACUGAAUUUGAUGGUUGGUUGACACUUGUUGCUGAUUUGAUAAUAGCUGGACCAAUUUAUGCAUACAAUUCAGAGAAAUUUGUGUGGGACGUCUCAGUUUAUUCUGAGAAAGCUGUUCUGGGCACUUUCUGCUUACAAUUUUAGAGAAAUUUGUGUUGGAAAUAUCAGUUUAUUCUAAGAAGCCGUAUGCAAUCCCUGUGCAAAAAUUGAUCAGCAGACCACUCAGCUGGUUCCACUCCCAACCAUUCCCCAAAAGGAUCAUUGAUCCCAUGGAUUAAUCCAUCCUGCAUUAUUCCUCAAACCAAAAAGGCCACAGCCAACAAGUUCAGCUUCUGAAUCUGAAUGCUCUUCAUGUGCACGUAACAAAGUGCAAGCCCAUCUCCAUAAACUUUGCCAAUAUUUAACGAAACAUCUCCAUAAGCCUUGCUAGAAACUCAAUAUUUAAUGAAAAGCUUUUUUCAGAUAAAACUCGAUGCAAGUUUGUCCACCAUCUCAGAUUUUUUUCCCCCAAGGCUGUCCUAACUGUCCAUGGUUGCCAUUGGACUGAGGACCAGAAAUUACUCCAACACAAUGAUAAAAGGCCCUCAAACCAAACAGCCACACAUGUUAGUUCAGGUUCAGAACUGAAUGGUCUUCACAUACACGUGACAAACUGCAAGUACAUCUCCAUAAACGUUACUAGAAAUUCAAUAUGUAACAAAACAAAGUGCAAAUACAGCCACAACCUUUGCUAGAAAAUCAAUAAUUAUAAAAGGCUUGUCAUAGUCUCAUAGAUGAAACUCAAAACGGGUAUAUGUUUGAAUCUGGGAUCAACAGCAGGAACUGAUAACCACACAUGAAUUUUACCAAUACUCAUCGAACACUUCCAGCAUCUCCCAAACCAAUCUAGCAAGUUUGGUAUGAUCUGUAGAUGUUUCUUCCAAGGUUGUCUUAACCAUAGAUCAAAAAGUUCAUCGCAUUGUAGCAGCACUUACAGACAAAAGAAUGGGAACCCAAACACCUUAGCAGAAGAUGGCCCCAUCCCACUUAGAUCAGCGGUUCAUGAACAUUCUUCAGACGAUGACUUGUAUUACGGACUAAAUUCAACCCUUCAAGGUUCACAUCCCAGGAGCUACACCCAAAAAUAGUAUCUUACAGGAUGCACAAGAAACGUAACGAAGCAGAAGAAGAAAGUUCCGGGGAUCGGAAGCCCGAGUAUCGAUUUUUUGACAUCUGAAAGUGAUACAGUAGCAUAAGAACUAUAUGAUGUGCAUGCAACUGUUAUUUACAAAUGUACAUGCCUCUCCUAGUGAUGCUGAAAAAUUCAACAGCUGAGCCCAGUUGAUGCAGAUAAUGGCGCUGUGCCUGAUCAAGAAAAAAAACAGACAAGAAUCAGCCAGGUAAGACCAACUACUUCGUGUGAUAAGAAAAUCAAUGAGAAGCUGACUAUAAGUGUGCUAAUGAACUGCAACAGUGAAAAGGCACAAAUGGAAAAAACUUGAAGGUGUUCAGAAAAAAGAAAUUGUUCAGUUCUGAUAAACUUGGCAAAGAGGAGCGACAAGGUGUAUAGCAACAUUUCCCAUGUCCAUUUGUUAGCAAAUUUUAUUUGGCCAACAGAACUUGCCUACCAAAAAUGCUAACAUCAUUAGCAUAAUGACACCUACAAGAAAGUUAAGAUGGGACUUCACAAUUACAGUCACAACAUUUAACAGUUCAAGGCUCAGGACAAGGCUUCUGGAGCUCAAAAUCUCUACUCUACAGUGGGGAGCAGGGUGGUUAACAGGCAGAAAUCCCUGAGACCUUGAUAGAUGUUUCCCUUACAGAACAGAUCCUUCAUAUAUGUUGGGAGUAAAAUCUUUAUUUUCCAUUGGAACUUACCCCUAAGGGGGUGUUUGGAUACACCGAACUAAACUUUAGUCCCUGUCACAUCAGAUGUUUGCACACUAAUUAGGAGUAUUAAAUAUAAUCUAAUGAUAAAACUAAUUGCAUAAAUGAGGGCUAAUUCGCGAGACGAAUCUAUUAAGCCUAAUUAGUCCAUGAUUAGCCCAUGUGAUGCUACAGUAAACAUGUGUUAAUUAUGGAUUAACUAGGCUUAAUAGAUUCAUCUCGCGAAUUAGCCCUCGUUUAUGCAAUUAGUUUUAUAAUUAGUUCACGUUUAGUCCUUCUAAUUGGUAUCCAAACAUCCGAUGUGACCCGAACUAAAAAUUAGUCCAUGGAUCCAAACACCACCUAAGUUGGCUGUCUACAGUAUUAUCAUGAUGAAAUUGUUGAAAGUACAAGUGUACAACUGAUACAUUCAGUAAAAGGCACAGCUCUGAUUUUUUAAAUUACACCAGAGGCCAGAGGAGUUCAGAUUCAGAAAAAAAAAUGGCCAUGCCUCAAACUAAACCCAAAUCUAGAGCAUUCUAGCUGUCCACAUGGAUACUAAAUUCCUCACCUCCCAUUUGACAAAAAUUCCUAAUGACAACGUAAGAGAAAUUUUAUUUGAGAGACUAGCUAGUAGUUAUUCCUGAACAAAAAUUCUUAGUAGUGUUGUCAGAAACAAUAUUAAAUAGUCAAGCAAACAUCAAUCACCUUUUCGGAUCAUAAACCCUUACAGAACAUGGUGUGUCAACCAGCAGUGCAUACUGCAUAUUACAGAUCUUUGGUUCCUCAAGCAUACAACAACAAAAUUAUAGUAUCAGGACAUCAAAACAGUACCAGCAAGACCAUCUAGCACCAGAGAGGCAGAGACCAGACAGCCAAAUGGCCAAUGCAGUUGCAAUAAUCCAUUCCUUCUACAUACUACUCAUUUCAACACUCAAUAGUCAUGGAAGUAUCAGAUGCAUGACUGGUAAACAACAUGUGGAUAAAUGAUUUUACCUACUUGGUGAGCGUAUGAACAUAAGCCUGAACUGCUGACUAAGCGGGUGUAGCUGAGAUGUUGUAGCGACUGCGCAAGCCAUCAAUAGCCCUCUCCGCCGACUUUGCUAUCUCCGUGACAGUCACCUUGCACACUGGCCACCACCAACAAAAUCAGAACUCAACCUCAACAGGUCGAUGGGAAACACAUGUAAUAGAACCAAAAUUCAGAGAGUUUUUUUGUGUCCAUCCAAAGUACCACGAGAUGUAGAUGCCUGCACCUCAGCCACGAACUUCUUGUACGAGUUCUGCGAUCCACAGAAAGCAUGAGAAAUUCAGAAUUCACACCAGCAAGUGACCAAUUACAGUAUCAAUUACGACAACGACAAGUCAGUAAACAGCAAACGAGAUCGGAGGUACAGGGUACCUUCACCACCUCGGUGCGCUCGGUGAUCUUGUCAGCCACCUUCUUGUGCUCCUUGUCCGCCUCCUCCGCCAGCUGCAGGCAACCAUGCGUCUGCAUCUGAACACGCAAGCGGCAGCAGGCGAAACCACAUCACAUUUAAUUGCGCGAUCGAACUGAUGGAAGCGACGAGGUGAGAGGGCGGAACGGGGGAAGACAGCCGGGGACCACCCACCUUGACGCGCUUGGAGAGGCGGGAGUGGGACGCCUCGAGGUCCCGGACGGAGUCGCCGUGGAGCGCGUCGAGGCGGCGCUUGAGGGAGUCGAGGUGGGACGCGGCGAGGCUCCUCAGGUCGCCGAUGGUGGACAUGGCUGCGGGGGCCGCGAGAGGGGAGGCCGCGGGGGAGGCGAGUGGGGAGCUCCUUGACCUGGGCUUCGCCGGCGAGCGCGAGGGCGAGUCCGAGAAGAAGCUGAGGUCGACCGCGGGGGAGGACGUGCCGCUGCCGCCGGCGGACGGCGAGGAGCCGCCGGAGAGCAGGGAGGCGGGGCUGGGCUUCGCCUUGGGCGCGGCCCUGGUCCUGGGCUUCGGCUUCGCCUUGGGCUUGGAGGCGGCGGUGGCUGCUUUCGCCUUUCUCAUCGCUGCCGGCUUCCGCGUGGGUGGGAGAAGGAAUUUGAAAUUUGAACUGGAGGUGGACAGGUGGUGGAAGAGAAGGGAGAGCAGGAUUCAUAAACGCGACGGGCCACGAGGCCAUUGCGUCUGGUUCGUGGGACCCGGUUAAGGUGAGCCCCACCAUGCAGUGAAUGGAACCGAUGGACUCCCGGAACGGAACGGCUCGCGCCAGCUGCCAGGUGGGACCCGCACAGCAUGCGUCCUAUCCUACUCCCACGUCAGUCUCCCAAAAUUUCCUUCAUGUUGAAUGGGAACGUGGUUGCGUAAGCGAAAUGGCAGCAAAUAGAACACCAGAGAAUCAGAGAUUACAACAACGGUCUCCCAGAAAGAAAUGAACGAAAUACACACAAGCAGCACCACAUAUCCAGCAACAACUUCUAGGCGUCUAUAAAAGGACUGGCGCUUUAUGAUUCAGUUCAAGUUUUUACCAAAUUCUAGCAGAUUUGGAUACCGAAACCACCAAAACCACGUUUCCAAACAGGAAUUUUGGUUAAAGGAUAAUAAAAAUGCAAAAAUCCUCCCGUUCUGCAUACGUGCAUCAGAUGAGUUUGAAUCCAAUCAAAAGACGGAUUUUAGCAUACGAAAACAUUAUCCAUCCAGAGUAAAAUCAAAGGGUGUCCUGCAUCAGCCAGGCCCAUGAGCCAGUACCGAGCUAGCCCAGCGCGGCUCUCGGGAUGCAGAGAUGUAGUUUGGUGAAAACGUAUCUAUUGGGUCAGCUUUCACUUAGAUGUUGAUUGGUAGUCUAUAUAGAUUGGUGGGUUUAUCUUGCACAUGAAAUCUGGUAAGACUACCAUCCAGCAUUUUCCCAAUUUAGUGAUGCCUCUUUGCCUCUUCUUCUCUCUCGGCGGUGGAUGCAACACAACAACCGGCAAGCCCAGAGCUGAUUGACAAAGGUGGUGGGACGCUGGAGUAAAUUGAUUCAAUGAAGAGCCACGCGCGGGAGGCCUGUGGAGAUGGCAGAUUGGCAACGACUCGUCGCGAGACCGCCACCACAGGCCACAGCAGGGCCGUGCACCUAGAGCCAUCGCCCCGCGCCGGCAAGCUGCACAACCGAAGGUCCAAGGCACGGCUAUCCCUCCCUUAGGCGGCGGUGGACCAUGCCUCUCUUGAUCCAACCAAAUAAGGAGACAAUUCCAUAGCUGAUUCGAUAGACACUCAAUUGCAUCAUGAACACCAACACAAACUAAAAAUUAAUUUGGAAGGAAAGCAAUGGAACGACAUCCAAAUCAUUAACAUAAGCUACAGAAACAAAUGUACAGAAUCAAGAUUCAUUUCACGCAUACAAGAUUUCUUAACGAACUUGCUAUCUACUGCAAAUCUAAAUCGAUGAUCAUUGUCCGCUAUUGCAUCCUCUCCUCAAUUGCCGGCCUUGCCGCAAGCUGCGGCUUUAGGGUGACGUCACGACGCUUUAGCUCGAUGGAAAAGGGUAUUGUUGUAGCCGCCACAGCCCCACUGGGUGAGCACUGCAGCCGCCGCUGCGGGUCCCCAAGCCACCGCAUGCCUCCACGCGUUGCCACUGCCCCGCUCCACCACGGCCUUUGCCAUGCCUGCGGGUUCCCACUGGCCGCACGCCUUCACGUGCGCCCUAUAGCCGCACGUGCCGCCGCAGCCCCACAGCCUCUAGCGCGCCUCCGUGCGUUUACCGCCACCGACCACGCCCCCGUAGCCGCCGCGCCCCGCUCCCCACCCCGACCUCCGAGCACUGCCACGACUCCGGCUUGCCACUCGCUGAUGCUGCCUCUGCGUGCCUCCGUGCGUUUACCGCCACCGACCACGCCCCCGUAGCCGCCGCGCCCCGCUCCCCACCUCGACCUCCGAGCACUGCCACGACUCCGGCUUGCCACUCGCGCCCCGCUCCCCACCUCGACCUCCGAGCACUGCCACGACUCCGGCUUGCCACUCGCGGCCGCUGCCUCUGUGCGUGGCCUAUGUUGGUGAGGGAAAAACAAGCCACCGGGGUCACCAUAAUGUCGCAUUCCAGCGUGCACCACGUGGAUGCAGCCUCCACGGUGCUUUGUGAACCGUGCUGGCCAGCCACGUGUCCACAUUCAGGAUAACAAACGGAGCACCUUGCAGCCCACGAGCCCGGCACAAAGGCCAUACACCCUACCAAACGCUCCCAAAGGAAAAUUGCAUUGCAUUGCAUGAAGCAGAAGUCAUACAGCCGCAAGUCCAUGCAAAUCCAUUGCAUCAGAUGGUGCCAUUGCCUCUUGAACUGAAUGCAGGAAGAGGAACAAAGUAGCUACCAUCUCCAAUAUUGAGUAGUAGAUUUAAAAAAAUGGGCACGAGAGCAAUUGAGAAGGACGGUUUUACAAUCUUAUUUCACACUGGGCAGCUAUUUGUUUGCACUUUCACUUUCUGCACAACACAAAGUAAGCGCAAAACACAUAACCAUCUGUGUAAAAACAAAAGGAUAAUAUCAUGUUUCCAACUGACAUCUUUAACACAAGUACACAACUCAUGGACAGUUUCCAUGCGUCAACUUUCAUGGACAGAUCAUUUCCUAUAACACCACUAAGCCCCUAAAACCAUUUUAUUGACUGGAACAGCAAAACUGAACCGCAGAAAUGCAACACACUGCCUACAAUCUGUAACACGUUACUGGAUUCAAGAUUGCAACUGUUCUGCAUUUACAUGAAACAAAGGGGGAACCGAUCCUAUGGGGAAAAUUCACUACAUUAAAUCAAUGAUGGAUCUAUCAGUUAUCAACCGAAUACAUUUCUACAAGGAAGCUAGGGAGAGGGGGAAUGUACAGAUGGGGUUGGUGAGGCUGUUACCCUGCUAUCUAAAGCUAAACACCCCAUGAUCAGGUAGCCAAGGUGUGAGUCGGAAAAAGAAUCCUGUAGACUAAAAUCUCCAUAAGGGAGAAACAACCAAAUGCCAUCGUCUCUGCCUACAAUCCU
rnacentral:lncRNA from 1 species